GCAAGUCGAGCGGUAGAAAGUAUUAGCUUGCUAAUGUUUUUGAGAGCGGCGAACGGGUGAGUAACACGUUGGUAUCUGCCCCCAAGUCAGGGAUAGCCAUUGGAAACGAUGAUUAAUACCGGAUAGUCUCUUCGGAGUAAAGAUUUAUUGCUUGGGGAGGAACCUGCGUUCUAUCAGCUAGUUGGUGAGGUAAUGGCUCACCAAGACUAUGACGCCUAGCUGGUCUGAGAGGAUGAUC
rnacentral:rRNA from 1 species